rnacentral:rRNA from 1 species
UGGCCGGUACAAAGGGCUGCGAUGCCGCAAGGUUAAGCGAAUCCUUUUAAAGCCGGUCUCAGUUCGGAUUGGGGUCUGCAACUCGACCCCAUGAAGUCGGAGUCGCUAGUAAUCGCAGAUCAGCAACGCUGCGGUGAAUACGUUCCCGGGCCUUGUACACACCGCCCGUCACGUCAUGAAAGUCGGUAACACCCGAAGCCAGUGGCCUAACCCUUGGGAGGGAGCUGUCGAAGGUGGGAUCGGCGAUUGGGACUAAGUCGUAACAAGGUAGCCGUACCGGAAGGUGCG